GUCUGUAAUUGGUGAAAUACACAUUUAUCGGUUCAGCGCGGAUUUGUAAUACUGAAAAAAGAAGCGUUACAUGCACCGGUACUGUAGACCAAAACAAAACGUCCCGCCAUCGAAGAAAUGCUAAGGAUCGAGGAAAUUAUGAACACUUAUCUACAUGUGUAUUCUAUCAGUGUGAUACUAGCAAGUAAGCGUGUCGUUGAAAAUAAAAUAUCUUCACGAACUGGCCUAAUGGAUUAGAAAAAACAACGAAAGAAAAUCCCAGGACGAAACGUCUAAUUUCCAA